rnacentral:tRNA from 1 species
GCCUCGGUAGUGUACUGGAACAGCACAGUAGUCUGGAUAUCUGUAAGUGCGGGUUCGAGUCCCGCCUAAAGUU